rnacentral:rRNA from 1 species
GAUGAACGCUGGCGGCGUGCUUAACACAUGCAAGUCGAACGGAGCGCUUUUUUUGAUUUCCUUCGGUCCUGAUUCUUUUGUGACUGAGUGACGUACGGGAGAGUAACGCGUGUGUAACCUGCCUUGUACAAGGGGGUGACAGUUGGAAACAGCUGCUACUGCCGCAUAAGCGGACAGGAUAAGAUUAGGCGGUGGGGAAAGCUCCGGUGGUAUAUGAUGGACCCGGGGGGGAUUAGGUUGAUGGUGGGUUUAAGGCACACCAAGGCUACGAUGCAGAGCCGAGCUGAGAGGGUGACCGGCCACAUUGGGACUGAGACACAGACCACACUCCUACGGGAGGGAGCAGUGGAGAAUAUUACACAAUGGGGGAAAGUCUGAUGCAGCGGCGCCGGGGAUGACAAGAAGUAUUUUGGUAUGUAAAGCUGUAUCAGCAGGGAAGAUAAUGACGGUACCUGACGAAGAAGCACCGGCUAAAUACGUG